rnacentral:sRNA from 1 species
UGCACUGAAGGCCCUCUCAGUACUACGCUAUAUCACAGACUGUGUGGACAGGUGGGCAGUCUGACUGGGCCUGGGCCUACUGUGGAGGGCUGGAAGACCGGGCCUGUAGCCUGCCUCUACUCACCUCCUUCACAACGUCCCUGCCCCUAGCCUCUCUCUCAGCACCUUGAGCCGUAUGCUUAGCACGCACAACCUGCCCUGCCUCCUGGUGGAACUGCUGGAGCAUAGUCCCUGGAGCCGGUGGGAAGGAGGUAGGGUCCUGCUCCACCAGCCUAAGCCCCAGGCUACUGCUUCAGGAUAUCUUUUUGAUAGAGGGGGCAGCUUGCACACACGAAGAUAAACCCUGUCCCCAAGCCCACUGAGGAUACCAGGAUGCCUCAGCCAAGGUUGGCCUAGACCUGAGCUCUGCAGUAGGCCAGGCCCAUGUGUCCACUACUGAGGCUCACCCUGCUCUGGGGUCAGCAGCACUAUAGCCUGGGCAAAUCCUGUGGCCCAGGUUCUCCCAUUCCCAGGCAGUGGUCAGUCUCCCAGCCCCCACAGCUGGCUCACUUGAAGAGAAUUCAACGUCUGCACCCAGUGUGCUGGUUCCUCUCCCCAGGCAAGCUGCAGCAGUUCGAGGGCAGCCGUUGGCUUACUGUGGCCCCCUCAGAGCAGCAAAAGCUGAGGAAGUUGGACGGGCAAGUGUGGAUCGCCCUGUACAACCUGCUGCUAAGCCCUGAGGCUCAGGCGCGCUACUGCCUCACAAGUUUUGCCAAGGGACAGCUACUCAAGGUCGGACUCCCUCUGCACCAGCCCCCACAGCCCCAGUACCGCCCUCCCCAUCCUACCCCAACUGCGUCCCUGCUGUUUAUCUUUGCCCACCCACCUCAACCCCAGUGCUCUUUUCAGUCCUUGGGCCUCAGGUGACACACCAGCUAGUGGGACAUGGGCCCCCACAGGCAUGCUCAGCCCAACCCAGCCCUUCCUUCUCCUUGGCCCCCUGGCCAGCACCUGCAUCACACUGGCCUCCACUGGACACCCUUGCAGCUUCGGGCCUUCCUCACAGACACACUACUGGACCAGCUGCCCAACCUGGCCCACUUGCAGAGUUUCCUGGCCCAACUGACCCUGACUGAAACCCAGCCCCCCAAGAAGGACCUGGUGUUGGAACAGAUCCCAGAAAUCUGGGAGCGGCUGGAGCGAGAAAACAGAGGCAAGUGGCAGGCAAUUGCCAAGCACCAGCUCCAGCACGUGUUCAGCCCCUCAGAGCAGGACCUGCGGCUGCAGGCGCGAAGGUGGGCUGAGACCUACAGGCUGGACGUGCUAGAGGCAGUGGCUCCAGAGCGGCCCCGCUGUGCUUACUGCAGUGCAGAGGCUUCUAAGCGCUGCUCCCGAUGCCAGAAUGAGUGGUAUUGCUGCAGGGAGUGCCAAGUCAAGCACUGGGAAAAGCAUGGAAAGACUUGUGUCCUGGCAGCCCAGGGUGACAGAGCCAAAUAAGGGCUGCAGUUGCUGAGGGCCAACCACCCAUACCAAGGGAAUCCACCCAGAAUGCACCCCUGAACCUCAAGAUCACGGUCCAGCCUGUGCCGGAGCCCCAGUCUCCGCAGUGGAGAGCAGAGCGGGCGGUAAAGCUGCUGACCCAUCCCCCUCCUCCUCACCCCAAGGGAAGGCUCGAGACUUCCUGCCCCACCCAGUGGGUAGGCCAAGUGCGUUGCUUCAGCAAACCGGGCCAGGAGGGCGAGGUCCGGAUGUGGGGACCCUCUUCCUCUAGCACAGUAAAGCUGGCCUCCAG